rnacentral:rRNA from 1 species
AAAUUGAAGAGUUUGAUCAUGGCUCAGAUUGAACGCUGGCGGCAGGCCUAACACAUGCAAGUCGAACGGUAACAGGAAAGAGCUUGCUGUUUCGCUGACGAGUGGCGGACGGGUGAGUAAUGUCUGGGAAACUGCCUGAUGGAGGGGGAUAACUACUGGAAACGGUAGCUAAUACCGCAUAACGUCGCAAGACCAAAGAGGGGGACC